CCUACGGGAGGCAACAGUGGGGAAUAUUGGACAAUGGGGGCAACCCUGAUCCAGCCAUGCCGCGUGUGUGAAGAAUGCCCUCGGGUUGUAAAGCACUUUCAGUGAGGAAGAACGCCUGGUGGUUAAUACCCAUCAGGAAAGACAUCACUCACAGAAGAAGCACCGGCUAACUCCGUGCCAGCAGCCGCGGUAAUACGGAGGGUGCGAGCGUUAAUCGGAAUUACUGGGCGUAAAGCGCGCGUAGGUGGCUUGAUAAGCCGGUUGUGAAAGCCCCGGGCUCAACCUGGGAACGGCAUCCGGAGCUGUCAAGCUAGAGUGCAGGAGAGGAAGGUAGAAUUCCCGGUGUAGCGGUGAAAUGCGUAGAGAUCGGGAGGAAUACCAGUGGCGAAGGCGGCCUUCUGGACUGACACUGACACUGAGGUGCGAAAGCGUGGGUAGCAAACAGGAUUAGAUACCCCAGUAGUC
rnacentral:rRNA from 1 species